ACACGCAUGACACACUGCAUAUCAAUAAGCGGAGGAAAAGAAACUAACAAGGAUUCCCCUAGUAACGGCGAGUGAAGCGGGAAGAGCUCAAAUUUGAAAUCUUCAAGGUUUGACCUUGACGAAUUGUAGUUUAAAGAAGUGUUUUCGGCUAGAGGAGUAGUAAAAGUUCUUUGGAAUAGGACAUCAUAGAGGGUGAGAAUCCCGUAUUUGACUAUUCUUUCUAGCUUUGUGAUACACUUUCAAAGAGUCGGAUUGUUUGGGAAUGCAGUCCAAAAUGGGUGGUAAAUUUCAUCUAAAGCUAAAUAUUGGCGAGAGACCGAUAGCGAACAAGUACCGUGAGGGAAAGAUGAAAAGAACUUUGAAAAGAGAGUUAAACAGUACGUGAAAUUGUCAAAAGGGAAGCGUUUGACACCAGUGUUGUUUUUCCGAAAAUCAAUUACGAACGUUUUAUUUUUGAGAAGUUAUGACUUCAUCGGCUUGCUUCUCUCUUUAUGAAACUUUCUUAGGCACUUUUCGGUUAACAAGUCAACAUCAAUUUCUUUUGUUGUAAAAGGGUAUGAGGAAGGUGGCUUUCUUUUCGGAGAAAGUGUUUAUAGCCUUGUACCUCUGCAAUCGGAGAGAUUGAGGUCUGCAGCGUAGAUCCUUCGGGGUUAGAUACAUUUGUGCUAAGUUAUAGCUUCUCAUAGACAACUUGUUGACUAUGUUUAGUCUUGUAGCUUACUCGCUUAUGCUAUUUUACCUACGCUUAGGAUGUUGAGCGCAUGUCUCUCUCU
rnacentral:rRNA from 1 species